ACCCGCAUAAUCCUUGUUUUGGAACCUCCUGUUCCCUUCUUCCUUGAGCUCAUGGGCUCUUUUCAAAAAUAUUGAGGAGUCAAAAUCGACACCGCCAUUAGCAUUUGGAAGCGUCGUUGGAUUUGAAAUAUUACCACUAUCAACACUUGAUACUUGGUUUGAAACACCACUACCCUUCUUUCUUCUACCUCCUGAUUUCCCCAUGAAAUUAGCUCACUCUGAUGUCACGCACGCUCACAGACACCCCCUAGAUAAAUAUAAAACCAUCAUUGACAAAGCCAAACUGAA
rnacentral:misc_RNA from 1 species